rnacentral:lncRNA from 1 species
AGAUCCCUAGAACUGGAGUGACACGUGGCUGUGAGCUGCCCGUGGAAGAGGAGACACAAAGCAACAUGUUCUGGACGACUGAGGCAGCUCCUAAGGUCCCAGGCUUUGCAGCACCACAUCCUCUGCCUGAAGACUGUUUUCUCAGGCCUGAGCUGAGUUCUGAAUGCUGAAACCUCAUUGAGGAGACUAGCUAUGGAAAAAU